rnacentral:tRNA from 1 species
GUCAGCAGCGGGGCGACACGAAACCCGCCAAGCGCCUAAGCGCUUGGCCGCGGGUUCGAGUCCUGCCAGGGACA